AUUGAACGCUGGCGGAAUGCUUUACACAUGCAAGUCGAACGGUAGAGGGGGCAACCCCUUGAGAGUGGGCGAACGGGUGAGUAAUAUAUCGGAACGUGCCCAGUCGUGGGGAUAACGUAGCGAAAGUUACGCUAAUACCGCAUACGAUCUAAGGAUGAAAGCGGGGGAUCGCAAGACCUCGCGCGAUUGGAGCGGCCGAUAUCAGAUUAGGUAGUUGGUGAGGUAAAGGCUCACCAAGCCAACGAUCUGUAGCUGGUCUGAAAGGACGACCAGCCACACUGGAACUGAGACACGGUCCAGACUCCUACGGGAGGCAGCAGUGGGGGAAUUUUGGACAAUGGACGCAAGUCUGAUCCAGCCAUUCCGCGUGCAGGAUGAAGGCCCUCGGGUUGUAAACUGCUUUUGUACGGAACGAAACGGUGAGCUCUAAUACAGUUUGCUAAUGACGGUACCGUAAGAAUAAGCACCGGCUAACUACGUGCCAGCAGCCGCGGU
rnacentral:rRNA from 1 species